GAUGAACGCUGGCGGCGUGCCUAAUACAUGCAAGUCGAGCGAACGGACGAGAAGCUUGCUUCUCUGAUGUUAGCGGCGGACGGGUGAGUAACACGUGGAUAACCUACCUAUAAGACUGGGAUAACUUCGGGAAACCGUAGCUAAUACCGGAUAAUAUUUUGAACCGCAUGGUUCAAAAGUGAAAGACGGUCUUGCUGUCACUUAUAGAUGGAUCCGCGCUGCAUUAGCUAGUUGGUAAGGUAACGGCUUACCAAGGCAACGAUGCAUAGCCGACCUGAGAGGGUGAUCGGCCACACUGGAACGGAGACACGGUCCAGACUACUAAGGGAGGCAGCAGUAGGGAAUCUUACGCAAUGGGCGAAAGCCUGACGGAGCAACGCCGCGUGAGUGAUGAAGGUCUUCGGAUCGUAAAACUCUGUUAUUAGGGAAGAACAUAUGUGUAAGUAACUGUGCACAUCUUGACGGUACCUAAUCAGAAAGCCACGGCUAACUACGUG
rnacentral:rRNA from 1 species